rnacentral:tRNA from 1 species
AGGUAUUAUUGGAAUACCUGCCACACAAGCAGGGGGUCGUAGGUUCGAAUCCUACAAAACCUA